UACAGGGCCAGGGAAUGGCUUAGUAAAGGGCUUGCUUCACAAGCAUGGGACGUGAGUUUGGUCCCCAGCACUCCUGUGAA
rnacentral:miRNA from 14 species